rnacentral:rRNA from 1 species
AUUGAACGCUGGCGGCAGGCCUAACACAUGCAAGUCGAACGAGAGGCGGACGGGUGAGUAAUGUAUGGGGAACUGCCCGAUGGAGGGGGAUAACUACUGGAAACGGUGGCUAAUACCGCAUACUGUCGGAUGACCCCAUAUGGGAUUAGCUUGUAGGUAAGGUAACGGCUCACCUAGGCGACGAUCCCUAGCUGGUCUGAGAGGAUGAUCAGCCACACUGGAACUGAGACACGGCCCAGACUCCUACGGGAGGCAGCAGUGGGGAAUAUUGCACAAGGGGCGCAAGCCUGAUGCAGCCAUGCCGCGGGUAUGAAGAAGGCCCUAGGGUUGUAAAGUACUUUCAGUCGGGAGGCGUUACCGACAGAAGAAGCACCGGCUAACUCCGUGCCAGCAGCCGCGGUAAUAC